rnacentral:rRNA from 1 species
CCUACGGGAGGCAGCAGUGGGGAAUAUUGCACAAUGGGGGGAACCCUGAUGCAGCGACGCCGCGUGAAGGAAGAAGUAUCUCGGUAUGUAAACUUCUAUCAGCAGGGAAGAAAGAGGACGGUACCUGACUAAGAAGCCCCGGCUAACUACGUGCCAGCAGCCGCGGUAAUACGUAGGGGGCGAGCGUUAUCCGGAUUUACUGGGUGUAAAGGGAGCGUAGACGGCCAUGCAAGCUCGGUGUGAAAGGUGCGGGCACAACCCGCAGACUGCACUGAGAACUGUAUGGCUGGAGUGCCGGAGGGGCAGGCGGAAUUCCUGGUGUAGCGGUGAAAUGCGUAGAUAUCAGGAGGAACACCGGUGGCGAAGGCGGCCUGCUGGACGGCGACUGACGUUGAGGCUCGAAAGCGUGGGGAGCGAACAGGAUUAGAUACCCCAGUA